rnacentral:rRNA from 1 species
CAGUCGAGCGAGCGGAACCACAGAUUUACUUCGGUAAUGACGUUGGGAAAGCGAGCGGCGGAUGGGUGAGUAACACGUGGGGAACCUGCCCCUAAGUCUGGGAUACCAUUUGGAGACAGGUGCUAAUACCGGAUAAUAAAGCAGAUCGCAUGAUCAGCUUUUGAAAGGCGGCGUAAGCUGUCGCUAAGGGAUGGCCCCGCGGUGCAUUAGCUAGUUGGUAAGGUAACGGCUUACCAAGGCGACGAUGCAUAGCCGAGUUGAGAGACUGAUCGGCCACAUUGGGACUGAGACACGGCCCAAACUCCUACGGGAGGCAGCAGUAGGGAAUCUUCCACAAUGGACGCAAGUCUGAUGGAGCAACGCCGCGUGAGUGAAGAAGGUUUUCGGAUCGUAAAGCUCUGUUGUUGGUGAAGAAGGAUAGAGGUAGUAACUGGCCUUUAUUUGACGGUAAUCAACCAGAAAGUCACGGCUAACUACGUGCCAGCAGCCGCGGUAAUACGUAGGUGGCAAGCGUUGUCCGGAUUUAUUGGGCGUAAAGCGAGCGCAGGCGGAAAAAUAAGUCUAAUGUGAAAGCCCUCGGCUUAACCGAGGAACUGCAUCGGAAACUGUUUUUCUUGAGUGCAGAAGAGGAGAGUGGAACUCCAUGUGUAGCGGUGGAAUGCGUAGAUAUAUGGAAGAACACCAGUGGCGAAGGCGGCUCUCUGGUCUGCAACUGACGCUGAGGCUCGAAAGCAUGGGUAGCGAACAGGAUUAGAUACCCUGGUAGUCCAUGCCGUANACGAUGAGUGCUAAGUGUUGGGAGGUUUCCGCCUCUCGGUGCUGCAGCUAACGCAUU